UCAUUGCGUUACAGACAGAGCAGCUUUCCUGCCAGGAAAGUGAAGAAUUUGCUUUCAUAAUGGAGAAUGUUACCUGGUAAAUUCUGGCAGGGCAGUGUAAUACAGAAAAGUUCCAUGCUGACUAUGCUCAUGAUGGAUGUGAAGAGUUCCUGGAUGAUGAUUGGAUCUGGAACUAUCUUCCGGGUUCUUUUGAAGACCCUGACCUGGAGUUACAUGCACACUUUGGUUCUUUUUGAGAAUGGCACCCGCUCUUAGGGCCUCACAAGCGGCUGCUUUUCGAUAUACCAAGGACGUGGCGUGAAAGACUAGUGUGCCUUCAGGAUGGCGGAUUUUCGUGUCUCUGGAGGCGGGUGGACUCGGGGCCGGUGCCUCCUCAGAAAACUGGGGUGUUAUGAGAGUACAUGGAAGAAAAGCGAAGCAAAAGACUUUUAACACCAUGAAUUGGAGAGUUGUUUUGUUAUGUCUCCCCUCUCACUGUGAAACAGGACACCUCUUUUUCCCUUAUUAGAGAGAGAGAGAGAGAGAGAGAGAGAGAGAGCCUGUGGUAUUUUGAAUUACUGGGUGAAUGAGUAGUCUUUGGGAGUACUGCAAAUCUGUGUCUUUAUUGAUGCUUUGCUGCACGCUUGAGUGCUCGGUGGGGAUUGCUGAUUUUUGCUGGU